rnacentral:rRNA from 1 species
GACGAACGCUGGCGGCGUGCUUAACACAUGCAAGUCGAACGGAAAGGCCCUGCUUUUGUGGGGUGCUCGAGUGGCGAACGGGUGAGUAACACGUGAGUAACCUGCCCUUGACUGUGGGAUAACUUCAGGAAACUGGGGCUAAUACCGGAUAGGAGCUCCUGCUGCAUGGUGGGGGUUGGAAAGUUUCGGCGGUUGGGGAUGGACUCGCGGCUUAUCAGCUUGUUGGUUGGGUAGUGGCUUACCAAGGCUUUGACGGGUAGCCGGCCUGAGAGGGUGACCGGCCACAUUGGGCCUGAGCUGCGGCCCGGACUCCUCCGGGAGGCAGCAGUGCGGAAUAUUGCACAAUGGGCGGAAGCCUGAUGCAGCCACGCCGCGUGCGGGAUGACGGCCUUCGGGUUGUAAACCGCUUUCGCCUGUGACGAAGCGUGAGUGACGGUAAUGGGUAAAGAAGCACCGGCUAACUACGUG